AUAUAUAUUUUAUGUCCACGUGUGUGUGCAUGUGUAAGUGUAUCCCCCUGCUUGUGCAUAUGAGCACUUGUGCAUAUAUGCAGGCUUGUGUGUGACUAGACAUGUGUGCAUAUGAGCAUGU
rnacentral:miRNA from 1 species